AAUAAAUACACAGCAGAAAUAAAAAGCUUGUUCUUUUGUUGAACAUACCGAUUGAUGUGGGUGGUAUCCUCAGGCACUUGAAGGUUUUGCCAUUUGCCUCAUUUUUGCAGCUGCUGCUGCUAAGCAGUCCUCUAAUUACCAACAUAUAAAUUAGAUCUGUGCUGUGAGAAACAAAAUGCUGUCCUCUAGAGACCCUCCUUUCUUGGCUUGAGUUUAUGCUGUUAAUCCUCUCUCUUGAUUGUCCUAAUUAAGUUAUUUGCAAUGUCUGAUUCUAGUUCCUAUCUUCCUCCUCCACCUUGUGUCUCUCUGCUAUUCUCAUGGGGUGAAAUCUUUACAGGAAAGCUGGAGCCUCAGAAAUUUUCUUAGGCUGAGAAGGGAUCUGGUUUUCCUACACAAGCUUUUACACUGCAGAAGCUCUGAAGAACAUCGCUGUGAAUACCAGCAAUACCUGCCAGCUUUUAAUCUUGUCCCAGAGAUGUCGAAACUCAUCAAAGUUUAUCUUCCCUGAGCCGUCUGUCUGCGAUGCAAGCAUUCAGUGUUAAGAAGACUGCAAUUAAGAUGUGCCACACUGGGAAUGCUGUGUUAUCUGAACCUGGACUAUGAUGUACUGUUCUGCUUUCCAGUUUACUAAGUUGCAUUUGAUUCAAAAACAAUCUGUUGCGUGUGGUGGGGGAAAGUAAAACUCAGAUGGACUAGUGUGGUAUCAAGCAAUCCUUUGUCACCGGCAAAGGAUACAUCCAUUAAAGCAAUCAUGCUGCGGCAGGAUUCCAGUUCAAAUCCUUCUGUCUUUAGGUCCUUAUCUGAAAUAAAUAAUACCAGAUAAAAACAAAUCAUGCAAGUCAGCAAGUGCUUCUCAUCCUUUUAGGUGGGACUCUACUCCAAGUAGAAACCAAAUCUGCUUGCUUCAUUUAGCAAGAAACGAGUGAGAAAGGAAUCUGAAAAGGCCCCAAGUAACAUUACUGUUUAUGAAUGACAGAUGAAGUUUGAUAAUCAGGGAGAAAGGUCCACCUCUCCACUAGAAAUCGUUUUUAAUGCCAUUUGCAGACUUUUAGAAACGCUAUAUUAUCAUGCGUGGUGCUUCCAGUUAACUUCUGUUCAUUAAUGCAUUAUCGGUACUUGAUCGGUCAUAGAUAGUAUCUCUAUUAAAAUGUUGCUAGGUAAAGUCUCAGAAGUGAAUAGAAGUGAAACUAGGAAAUUUGUGAAUUUGCAACCAUAAGGAAUUUUGAGAGUGCAACUCAGAGGAGGAGGGAUACAUAAUAUCACAGAUUUCUUUGUCUGGGGUUACUGAAAAACAUGUUAAAACUCACGUUUUUUUACGACAUUAUUUAGAACAUUCCUGAGCUCUUCAGCAUUGAUUUCCAUGUCCUGGUAGGAAAUGGGGGGAGAAAACCAUUAAUUACAACAUUCCUUAUUACAAAAAUCAUUCUAUGGAUUGAUAUGCUAAAAGUAUGAAGUCUCAGGUCACUUUUAAGUGUGGUGUGUGCCUCAAAAUAGAGAGCAUUCCAGGUUUGUAUAAGCAGCAGUCCAAAUCUUUGAGACUGCAGCUACAUCUGCAGUACAAAGCAGGUCUGAAGUUACUGUGCAGCGUUUAUUAAACUGCAACUGGAAGAACAACCAGUAAUUUCAAGCCACUGUGAGCCAAGCAGCAAAAUGUGAAAAUCUCUGUAACCCCUCUUGAUUUAUGUAGCUUUUUGAUCUGUGUCUACUUUCGACUUCCUUAGCUAAGUGUAUACUGGACAGCACUGUAUUUAUAACUUCACAUGCUAUGCAAAAUUGCUGGAGAAAUCCCGAAUAGCCUCAUGCAGUAGUUAUAGAAAUAAAAACCUGAAUUUAAAUAAGGCUCCCGUGUACACAAUUAGAAGAAUAAGUUAGAUGUACAUAUGAGGAUAGCUGUAUGCUUAAUUCAAUUUUGAUUUACUUUUGCUUAGCUUUAGAUCUCAAAAGAAAUUGAGAUAAAUUUUAAAGUGUCUUGAAUCUGUGAAGUUGUUCUAGUUUCUGUUGUGGCUAUGCUGCUCUGAAGGCAGAGGUAGAAAUUGGUAGCA